AUGGGGAAUUUGUUAGGGAAAAUCGGCGAAAGCAGGGCUUAGGACCCUGUCACGAAGGUGUUCGCGGGUUCGACUCCCGUCCCCCGCA
rnacentral:tRNA from 1 species